rnacentral:misc_RNA from 1 species
CUUCCAAGUGUGCCCGGCUUGUCCAAGACGUUGUCCUCGAGGAGACGACGCGCGACAGACAGAAACGCGAGUUCGAUAUUCGCGUCUCGACCGAUCUUCCAUCGAUACGUGCUUCGAAACCAGUAGUAGCCUACUCUAUGAGGCUACAGCUUGUGUGUUUUAUAGCGACCUUCUUUGCUGUCGAAGAUGUUAAUUAGCCAUCAUCGAUAAGACAGUUAGACGAGCAUAGGAUCGGAUAUGCGUCACGCAAAAACGAGACUCGUGCCUUGAAAACGUCGAUGGCAUACGAUCAGCCACCAGGAACGUCGGUGCGGCCGAACGACGUACGAAAAAAGAUGAUUAACGAUUACAAAAAAGCAACGGUCAAGCACCGUGCAAGUUUCUCGAAUCCAGCCGAUUUCUCGAUCUCCG